rnacentral:rRNA from 1 species
AUUGAACGCUGGCGGCAUGCCUUACACAUGCAAGUCGAACGGUAACAGGUCUUCGGAUGCUGACGAGUGGCGAACGGGUGAGUAAUACAUCGGAACGCGCCUAGUAGUGGGGGAUAACUACUCGAAAGAGUGGCUAAUACCGCAUGAGAUCUACGGAUGAAAGCAGGGGAUCGCAAGACCUUGUGCUACUAGAGCGGCCGAUGGCAGAUUAGGUAGUUGGUGGGAUAAAAGCUUACCAAGCCGACGAUCUGUAGCUGGUCUGAGAGGAAGAUCAGCCACACUGGGACUGAGACACGGCCCAGACUCCUACGUGAGGCAGCAGUGGGGAAUUUUGGACAAUGGGCGCAAGCCUGAUCCAGCAAUGCCGCGUGCAGGAUGAAGGCCUUCGGGUUGUAAACUGCUUUUGUACGGAACGAAAAGCCCUGGGUUAAUACCCUGGGGUCAUGACGGUACCGUAAGAAUAAGCACCGGCUAACUACGUGCCAGCCGCCGCAGUAA